rnacentral:rRNA from 1 species
UAGUCCACGCCGUAAACGAUGUCAACUAGUCGUUGGGCUCUUCGGAGCUUAGUGACGCAGCUAACGCGUGAAGUUGACCGCCUGGGGAGUACGGCCGCAAGGUUAAAACUCAAAUGAAUUGACGGGGGCCCGCACAAGCGGUGGAGCAUGUGGUUUAAUUCGGUGCAACGCGAAGAACCUUACCUACCCUUGACAUCAUCAGAACUUGUUAGAGAUAACUCGGUGCCUUCGGGAACUGGUUGACAGGUGCUGCAUGGCUGUCGUCAGCUCGUGUCGUGAGAUGUUGGGUUAAGUCCCGCAACGAGCGCAACCCUUGUCCUUAGUUGCCAGCACGUAAUGGUGGGAACUCUAGGGNACUGCCGGUGAUAAACCGGGAGGAAGGUGGGGAUGGACGUCAAGUCAUCAUGGCCCUUAUGGGGUAGGGGCUACACAUGUGCUACAAUGGGUACAUACAGA